UUUUGAAGAAAACACAGACCAAGAAUGUUUUUGAUUUGCGCUAUUGCGCUAUUGCGCAUGCGAAAUUUUUGUAAACCUACUUUUGGAUCAUCCAAAUUAAACUUUUUUAGAUAAUGCUCAAUAUCGCUGAUAUACCAAUUCAUUUUUUACAAAUUCUUAAAUAUUUUUGAUAGUAGAGUGAAAGAAGACAGCUCUUCCAUCGCUUUUAAACAUUUUUUAACCAAUAUGCGUGUCCAAAUAGUAGUUGUAAUCUACUAGACCAAACCACAGAUGAUGAAGAUUUAACUCCAACUUUUGGAUUUUCACAUAUUUUAUAUUUUAAAUAAUACUUUUUAAUUUGUUUAAAACACUAGCAUUACAAAAGUUUAAUAUAGUUUUUAGUUUUAGUUUUUAAUUUUUUAUAAAACUUUUAAGGUUUUAUUUACAGUUUUUGUUUUAUUAAAGUUAUUAAGUUGUAUCAUUGCUUAUGAUAGUUUAAACAUGUAUAAAUAUUUUUGUUGUUUUUGUUUCUUAGUAUGCUUGUUAGGCAGGGCAACCAUAUUGUUGGGUGAACUUUUUUUUAAUGUUUUGCUAAAGUUAAUUAGUUAAUAUUAUAGUAGAUUAUAGUAAAAAAAGUAAUUAUAUUAGGUGAUAUUUCUCUUUUACUGACUUAAAUUUAAAAUAUACAAAGUAAAGGCAUAAAGAUCAAAGAGUAAACAUUUAGUUAAUAAAUUGUUCAAAUUAAAAAGUAAUUUAUGCAAAAGCACGUUUCAAAAAGAUGUUUUUAGAUUUAGUGCUGUAUUAGUUAAAGAUUUCAUUAGCAUUGCAAUAUGGCGCUUAAAGUUUUGAUUUCUUUGUAUAAUCUGUUUAUCAUAGAUAUAGGUUAUAAAAUUUAUAGCUUUUAUAGGUUAUGAAAUUUAUAAUAGAUGUAGGUUAUAAUAAAUUAUAAUGAAAUUUAUAGGUUAAGCUUAAAUUGUGAAAGUUUUAUUUAAACAUUAAUUCAAUCAAGUGAUUUAUUCAAAAUUGAUUUUCUAUAAAUCUGUUUAAGUUGAAUUUUAUAGUUUUUAUAGUUCAAUUUUAGUAUUAGACAGUUUUUUAAUAUAUAAAGUAAUGGAAACAUCUGCUAACGAUGGUAAGUGUUGAUUAAAUAAAGUAUUGUAGUUUAUAACUUUUUAGUUUAUGUUUAGUAGAAAUUUAUAUGCAUAUCUUUAUCAUUUGAUAGUUUAUUUUAAGUUAAAACUUUACUUUUUUUAGCAUCAGACCAGAGAUUUGCACUAAUAUUGUCAGAAUUAGCCGCUUUAAGAGCAGAAUUAAACAAAGGUACUCCCAAUGAUGGCAUCAAGGAUUCAAAUGGAUUUUCAUUUAACC
rnacentral:misc_RNA from 1 species